rnacentral:rRNA from 1 species
CCUACGGGCGGCAGCAGUGGGGAAUAUUGGACAAUGGGGGGAACCCUGAUCCAGCCAUGCCGCGUGUGUGAAGAAGGCCCUCGGGUUGUAAAGCACUUUCAGUGAGGAAGAACGCCUGGUGGUUAAUACCCAUCAGGAAAGACAUCACUCACAGAAGAAGCACCGGCUAACUCCGUGCCAGCAGCCGCGGUAAUACGGAGGGUGCGAGCGUUAAUCGGAAUUACUGGGCGUAAAGCGCGCGUAGGUGGCUUGAUAAGCCGGUUGUGAAAGCCCCGGGCUCAACCUGGGAACGGCAUCCGGAACUGUCAGGCUAGAGUGCAGGAGAGGAAGGUAGAAUUCCCGGUGUAGCGGUGAAAUGCGUAGAGAUCGGGAGGAAUACCAGUGGCGAAGGCGGCCUUCUGGACUGACACUGACACUGAGGUGCGAAAGCGUGGGUAGCAAACAGGAUUAGAUACCCCGGUAGUC